CCUGGUUGAUCCCGCCGGUAGUAAUAUGCUUGUCUCAAAGAUUAAGCCAUGCAUGUGUAAGUAUGAACUAAUUCAGACCGUGAAACCGCGAAUGGCUCAUUAAAUCAGUUAUAAUUUGUUUGAUCAGAACUACUACCGGAUAACCGUAGUAAUUCUAGAGCUAAUACGCGCAACAAACCCCAACUUCUGGAAGGGAUGCAUUUAUUAGAUAAAGUUCGACACGGCUCUGCCCGCUUCGAUGAUUCAUGAUAACUCGACGGAUCUCAUGGCCUUAGUGCUGGCGACGAUCAUUCAAAUUUCUGCCCUAUGAACUUUCCAUGGUAGGAUAGUGGCCAACCAUGGUGGUAACGGGUGACGAAGAAUUAGGGUUCGAUUCGAGAGGGAGCCUGAGAAAUGGCUACUACAUCCAAGGAAGGCAGCAGGCGCAAAAUUAACCAAUCCCGACACGGGAGGUCGUGGACAAUAAAUAACAAUACCGGCUCUUUGAGUCUGGUAAUUGGAAUGAGUACAAUCUAAAUCCCUUUAAUGAGGAUACAUUGUAGGGCAAGUCUGGUGCCAGCAGCCGCGGUAAUUCCAGCCCAAUAGCGAUAUUUAAGUUGUUGCAGUUAAAAGCUCAGAGUUGAACCUUGGGAUGGAUCGCCCGAUCAACCUUCGGUGAGCACCGGUCGGCUUGUCUCUUCUGUUGGCGAUAUGCCCCUGGCCUUAACUGGGUUAAUCGCCUCCGCACUGUUACUUUGAAGAAAUUAGAGUGCUCAAAGCAAGCUCACGCCUCGUAUACAUUAGCAUGGGAUAACAUCAUAGGAUUUCGAUCCUAUUGUGUUGGCCUUCGGAUCGGAGUAAUGAUUAACAGGGACAGUCGGGAACAUUCAGAUUUCAUAGUUAGAGGAGAAAUUUUGGAUUUAUGAAAGACCUAACAACCGCGAAAAGCAUUUGCCAAGGAUGUUUUCAUUAAUCAAGAACUAAAGUUGGGGGCUCAAGACGAUCAGAUACCGCCCUAGUCUCAACCAUAAACAAUGCCGAAUUGUGGGUCAGCGGAUGUUGCUUUUUAGGACUCCGCUGGCACCUUUAUGAGAAAUCAAAGUUUUUGGGUUCCGGGGAGUAUGGUUGCAAGGGUGAAACAUAAAGGAAUUGACGAAAAGGGCACCACCAGAGUGGAGCCCGCGGCUUAAUUUAACUCAACACGGGAAACUUACCAGGUCCGCAUAGUAAGGAUUGACAGACCGAGAGCUCUUUUCUUGAUUCUAUGGGUGGUGGUGCAUGGCCAUUUUAGUUGGUGGAGCCGAUUUGUCUGGUUAAUUCCGCUAACUAACGAGACCUCAGCCUGCUAACUAGCUACGUGGAGGCAUCCCUUCACCACCGGCUUCUUGAGGGACUAUGGCCGCAGGUAAAGCCAAGGAAGUUUGAGGCAAUAACAGGUUUGUGAUGCCCUUAGAUGUUCUGUGUCGACGACGCUACACUACACUGAUGUAUUCAACGAAGUUCACACCUUUGGCCGACAGGCCCGAAAGUAAUCUUUGAAAUUUCAUCGAUGGGGAUAGAUCAUUGCAAUUGUUGGUCUUCAACGAGGAAUUCCUAGUAAGCGAAGUCAUCAGCUCGCGCUGACUAUGUCCAUGCCCUUUGUACACACCACCCGUCGCUUCUACCGAUUGAAUGAUCCGGUGAAGUGUUCAGAUCGCGGCACGUCGUGAGAAGUCCACUAAAACGUAUCAUUUAGAGGAAGGAGAAGUCGAAACAAGGAUUCCGAGGUUAACCCGCUGGAAG
rnacentral:rRNA from 1 species